CAAAUACUCCCUCCGUCCCAAAAUUCUUGUCUUAUAUUUGUCUAGAUACGAAUGUAUCUAAUACUAAAACAUAAUUAGAUAUAUCCAUAUUUAGACAAAACUAAGACAAAAAAUUUGGGACGGAGGGAGUAGAAU
rfam:Triticum aestivum genome assembly, contig: Triticum_aestivum_CS42_TGACv1_scaffold_082120_1DS